rnacentral:lncRNA from 1 species
ACCGCUGAUGCAUUGCUGCCCAACAUCAAAACCCCUCGAGCAUGGAUUGUAGACUUGUCUGAGCUGAUUGAUUUUUGAAUCUGCUCGCAUUCAGAACAUAUUAGCUCCAUUGCACAAUCUCAGGCGUUCUUGUAGAAAAUUAGUAUCCAGACGGCACAUACCUUGCCUUUGCCCAUGGAAGCGACCUUCACACUGGGCUGCUCAACAGCUGUAGUUAGGAUUGAACAUGGAUUUGAGGAAGAGAUGGAGCAGAGCAACAGAGAAGAACACGAGUGGGGACUGGGAGGAGCAACAGAGAGGCGAGAGACCAAGCAGCCGCCACCAGGUGAGCUAGGG